rnacentral:rRNA from 1 species
AACGCAGGGAACUGAAACAUCUUAGUACCUGCAGGAAAAGAAAAUAACAAUGAUUCCCCCAGUAGUGGCGAGCGAACGGGGAAUAGCCCAAACCAACAGUGUUACGGCAUUGUUGGGGUUGUAGGACCACGACGUUGCAAGAAAUCUUGUGAGAAGAACGGUCUGGAAAGGCCGGCCACAGCGGGUGACAGCCCCGUAUUCGAAGCGAGACGAAGCAUAGUG